UAUAUUAUAGUUUAUAAAAAUAUUAAAUUGCAAAUUUAAAGAUAUCAAAAACAUUAUUGGAUUAAUAUAA
rnacentral:tRNA from 1 species